UAGGUACCUCUGUGUAUAGACUGGUCUAACUACCAGGUGUCCUCUCUCUCUCUCUCUCUCUCCUAGGUACCUCUGUGUAUAGACUGGUCUAACUUCCAGGUGUCCUCCUCUCUCUCUCCUCUCCUAGGUUCCUCUGUGUAUAGACUAGUCUAACUUCCAGGUGUCCUCUCUCUCUCCUCUCCUAGGUACCUCUGUGUAUAGACUGGUCUAACUUCCAGGUGUCCUCUCUCUCUCUCUCCUCUCCUCUCCUGGGUACCUCUGUGUAUAGACUGGUCUAACUUCCAGGUGUCCUCUCUCUCUCUCCUCUCCUAGGUACCUCUGUGUAUAGACUGGUCUAACUUCCAGGUGUCCUCCUCUCUCUCUCUCCUCUCCUAGGUACCUCUGUGUAUAGACUGGUCUAACUACCAGGUGUCCUCUCUCUCUCCUCUCCUAGGUACCUCUGUGUAUAGACUGGUCUAACUUCCAGGUGUCCUCUCUCUCUCUCCUCUCCUAGGUUCCUCUGUGUAUAGACUGGUCUAACUUCCAGGUGUCCUCUCUCUCUCUCUCUCCUCUCCUAGGUACCUCUGUGUAUAGACUGGUCUAACUACCAGGUGUCCUCUCUCUCCUCUCCUCUCCUAGGUACCUCUGUGUAUAGACUGGUCUAACUUCCAGGUGUCCUCUCUCUCCUCUCCUCUCCUAGGUACCUCUGUGUAUAGACUGGUCUAACUACCAGGUGUCCUCUCUCUCCUCUCCUAGGUACCUCUGUGUAUAGACUGGUCUAACUUCCAGGUGUCCUCUCUCUCUCUCCUCUCCUAGGUACCUCUGUGUAUAGACUGGUCUAACUUCCAGGUGUCCUCCUCUCUCUCUCUCCUCUCCUAGGUACCUCUGUGUAUAGACUGGUCUAACUACCAGGUGUCCUCUCUCUCUCUCUCUCCUCUCCUAGGUACCUCUGUGUAUAGACUGGUCUAACUUCCAGGUGUCCUCUCUCUCUCUCCUCUCCUAGGUACCUCUGUGUAUAGACUGGUCUAACUUCCAGGUGUCCUCCUCUCUCUCUCUCCUCUCCUAGGUACCUCUGUGUAUAGACUAGUCUAACUACCAGGUGUCCUCUCUCUCUCUCUCUCUC